UACAGAGGUCCCAAGCGUUUGUUCGGAUUCACUGGGCGUAAAGGGUGCGUAGGUGGUUGUGCAAGUCUGAUGUGAAAUCUCCGGGCUUAACCCGGAAAUGGCAUUGGAAACUGCAUAGCUAGAGGUUUGGAGGGGGGACUGGAAUUCUCGGUGUAGCAGUGAAAUGCGUAGAUAUCGAGAGGAACACCAGUGGCGAAGGCGAGUCCCUGGACAACACCUGACACUGAGGCACGAAAGCUAGGGGAGCAAACAGG
rnacentral:rRNA from 1 species